rnacentral:misc_RNA from 1 species
AUAAAGUUGUUUCUCAUUGCUUAUUAAUUUUAGGUGAUUUCUUUGUUAUGAUCUCCCUUCCACGAUGUUGGAAUUAGUACAUCUUUUAAUGAAUUUCUCCUAAGUAAUGACAAUAUGACAGUAGUUUGUAUGCGUUUUUUUGUUCUUAUUAAUUUAAACUAUUUCCAAAAUGGCUCUAAUAAAUUUUUGUCAUACCAUGUUUGCGAAUUUCCUCUCACUUUUGGAAAUGCCACUUUGGUUCUCCUACCAUUAGUUUUCCUACAUUACUAUUCCAUCAGCAAGUUGUGACCCAAAUCCUUGAAUAAUUUUUUUCCCUCUGGCUAGUUUUUAGCCUUUUCAUUCACUGAUGAACGAAUAAAGAUGAACGCACUGUUGGCUACAUUUGCUCAAUUUUUUUACUGAUGAAAGAUGCAAUAAUCAACUGGGGGAGAGUACUUGUGAUGAUGUGAUGAUUUUUAAUGUUCACUAAAAAUUUUCCCAUUUUCAUUGACGCGAUGCAGAUAUGUCAAGAGAAAGGCUG